GCCAUAUUCACAACAUCGAUCGGUUUUCAUCGUCAACUUAGAACUCUCUACCUCUUUGGUGAUUUUUUUGGCCAUAAAACUAGAAAGAAAAUCGCACCUCAAGCGGCUAAACUCCAAACAAAACCCAAAAAUCAGUGAGUUAGAAGAGAUUCGAGAGAGAAUCAUCAUAUUUGGAGGAGUGAUUAUGUUAAUUAUUUAUAAGGGAUUUGCUCUUAUGUUUGCAACCAAGAAUCUCCAACUUCCGUUCAUACAAGUACUGUUACUUAUGGCUAUGGAGUCACAAGCAUUUUGGAAUGGGCGGUUUCAGAAAAGAGGUUAAGUGGCUAGAAUACAUCAGACCUCAAGCACAAGCUUUCUUAGAAACUAGAAAAAUACCAAAACUUGUGAAGCAAAGGCAAGAGCCCCUGCACCUGUACCAGAAGAGAUGUCCCCUAAUGAAGAACUCACUCUCAAUUAGAUUAUGUAGAAUCCAUCUUAGUUUCCAUUUGAGGUAUCAGUUUCCAUUUGAGGAUGACACAAAAUGUGCUCAACAAAGUUCAUCUUCGUUGGAUUGUGGCAUCUUCAUCAUGUUCAAUAUGGAUAAAAUAGCACAAGGACAGCCCAUUCCAAAAAGUGUAGACAAGAAUUUCAUGAAUGAAUAUCGAGCACAAUACAUCACAAAAGUGCUACACCACAGACACUGUCUCAUUAAUCGUCUCUAGUGAUUUGUCUUUUGUUAACUCAAGACAAUAUGUAUCUUAAUUCUUGUGGAUGUUUGUAAAUAUUUCUAG